AGCAAAAUAUCUGCUGCGGAGAGAAGCAUCAAGAAGAAAAUUACAUCAGUUGAAGAAAAACACCAGCUCACUGCAGUUUAUCUCUGUGAUGAAAAUGUUACCCUAAGCUGUUCAGCAAAUGUCUGAGAAGAACUGGCAUUCCAGAACUGGAAUGGAGAGACAAAAUCAGCGCAUCUUCUCAUUUCCUCUAUAAGGAUCCCAGAGAACGGAACAAUGCCUAACUUAACGAUUUUAAAAGAACGCAAAACCACGAACGCAGAAGAACGGCAAAGCUCAGCCCGCGGCCCCGCAAACAACGGAAUCAACUGGCCGCCGGGGGCAGCGGCGCAACGUGGGAAGGAGGCGCGUUCUUUCGUUCCCCUUCCGUCCCAGACCCUCCUUUCUUACCUUCGAAAGAAA